rnacentral:ncRNA from 1 species
GUAAUGGUUGCUGAGUAAAGCUUAACAGCGUAAAAAACCAUCGCCGGACACGAUCGAAGAGG